GAUGAACGCUGGCGGCGUGCCUAAUACAUGCAAGUAGAACGCUGAAGGAAGGAGCUUGCUCUUUCCGGAUGAGUUGCGAACGGGUGAGUAACGCGUAGGUAACCUGCAGGGGAGCGGGGGAUAACUAUUGGAAACGAUAGAUAAUACCGCAUAACAGUAGAUGUUGCAUGAUAUCUACUUAAAAGGUGCAAUUGCACCACUACCAGAUGGACCUGCGUUGUAUUAGCUAGUUGGUGAGGUAACGGCUCACCAAGGCGGCGAUACAUAGCCGACCUGAGAGGGUGAUCGGCCACACUGGGACUGGGACACGGCCCCGACUCCUACGGGGGGCAGCAGUAGGGAAUCUUCGGCAAUGGACGGAAGUCUGACCGAGCAACGCCGCGUGAGUGAAGAAGGUUUUCGGAUCGUAAAGCUCUGUUGUGAGAGAAGAACGAGUGUGAGAGUGGAAAGUUCACACUUUGACGGUAUCUUACCAGAAAGCGACGGCUAACUACGUG
rnacentral:rRNA from 1 species